AUUGAACGCUGGCGGCAGGCCUAACACAUGCAAGUCGAGCGGAUGACGGGAGCUUGCUCCUUGAUUCAGCGGCGGACGGGUGAGUAAUGCCUAGGAAUCUGCCUGGUAGUGGGGGACAACGUUUCGAAAGGAACGCUAAUACCGCAUACGUCCUACGGGAGAAAGCAGGGGACCUUCGGGCCUUGCGCUAUCAGAUGAGCCUAGGUCGGAUUAGCUAGUAGGUGAGGUAAUGGCUCACCUAGGCGACGAUCCGUAACUGGUCUGAGAGGAUGAUCAGUCAAACUGGAACUGAGACACGGUCCAGACUCCUACGGGAGGCAGCAGUGGGGAAUAUUGGACAAUGGGCGAAAGCCUGAUCCAGCCAUGCCGCGUGUGUGAAGAAGGUCUUCGGAUUGUAAAGCACUUUAAGUUGGGAGGAAGGGCAGUAAGUUAAUACCUUGCUGUUUUGACGUUACCGACAGAAUAAGCACCGGCUAACUCUGUGCCAGCAGCCGCGGUAA
rnacentral:rRNA from 1 species